UACGGGGGGAGCAAACGUUGUUCGGAAUCACUGGGCGUAAAGGGCGUGUAGGCGGCUGGAUAAGUGGGAUGUUAAAUCCCCCGGCUCAACCGGGGGACCUGCAUCUCAUACUGUUCAGCUCGAGCACAUCAGAGGAGACUGGAAUUCCCGGUGUAGCGGUGAAAUGCGUAGAUAUUGGGAGGAACACCAGUGGCGAAGGCGAGUCUCUGGGAUGAUGCUGACGCUGAGGCGCGAAAGCCAGGGGAGCAAACGGG
rnacentral:rRNA from 1 species